GCAGCCCUGCAUGCAGUGUGGAUCCCGCGAGAUUUCAUUCAGCAAUUCCCAUCCCCCACGCAGCACUCGCUGCAUCGCGCCGACGCCAUUACUACUCUCUGACUGCUUUGCUGUAAUUUUCGAGAGAAGACGUUUGCCGUCAGUGUAACCAAGAAAGUAAUCGGACGGUCUUGGAUGUUGAUGCAGUGGAGCAGAAAUUGGCAGACCCCAACUUCCAGAAACAAGUGGUUGCUGUGGUGGCAGUACUGUGGAUGAAGCCAGGAGAAGAAUGAGGGCCUUCCUUUUGGACCACCCGCAUCAAGAGAGUUCAAUUUUGUUGGCCGGCAUGGAAAGUGAGAGUUUCAGGGCUCAGACUGCUUGAGGUUGUAUAAGGAAGCUUGAAAAAAAAUUCUCUUAACCAAAUUACCAGAAAAGAGGCAGAAAAGUCAGCGUCAAAGUGGCUAAUCGGUGACGGGAGGAAACCGUUCUGCGGUCACGUAGUAGAGAGUAAGAUAGGGCCGUUGGGAGAGCGAGGACAGAGGUGUGAGGGGCUGCAUGGUUGGUUUGUUUGUUUGUGAAAUAAUGUAUUUUAGAGUUUUCAGAUAUGUGUAUACAAACGAUACAAGUUAUUCCAAAUAAUGUUUGGCAGGAGCUUCACUUUAACUUUUUAAGAUGCUUAUGUUUUAUAAAGUUGUAAAUACACAAGUUAUAAUGGUCAUGUUCAAAU